UGUGAGGCUUCCCCAGCCACAUGGAACUCAAGCAGGAGCGAGGCUGGGACUUGUGAGCAGCUUGUGGGGCAUCAGGAGGGCCCCUCACUCCUGCAGAUGCCUCAUUCGGAACCAGGAAUUUCCUCCCAUCCGCCCUGGAAAACUCAAGCAUCUGCUCACGUCCCCUCCAAGCUGAGGGCCUUGGAAGACUCAUGAGCGCCUGUGACUGGCCACACUGUCCAGUCUCACCCAUCGUGGCACUGUUUAUUUACCUAACAAACACUGAUGUGCCAGACAGAGUCUCACUUCUGUCACCCAGGUUAGA